rnacentral:rRNA from 1 species
GACGUAGGGCGCGAGCGUUGUCCGGAUUUAUUGGGCGUAAAGAGCUCGUAGGCGGCUGUCGUGCGUCACUGUGAAAACCGGCGUUACCGACCCGGCUGCAGUCGGUACGGGCAGACUAGAGUGCGGUAGGGGAGACUGGAAUUCCUGGUGUAGCGGUGAAAUGCGCAGAUAUCAGGAGGAACACCGGUGGCGAAGGCGGGUCUCUGGGCCGUAACUGACGCUGAGGAGCGAAAGCGUGGGGAGCGAACAGG